rnacentral:lncRNA from 1 species
UAAUCUCUAACACAAACAUUUAAUAGUAAUCUUCGGUAGUGCUAGUAGAAGAAGGCACUCCUCCCUCCACCUACUUCUGUAAAAAGUAAAAGUUUACAAACUUUUGACUGAAAAUAGUCAAAUUAUCCCCUCUGGUCACAAAUGUUUGAUGCUUUGGACACAAUAUCCGAUCAAACUUCUAAACUUUGACAAUCAAAAGCUUCCAAAGCAAAAUCGGGAGCACAAAAAACAUGUGCGGGUAUAUGCAUGUUAGUGUCAAAGAAUAUAUGAGAAUUACUUAUUCAAUGCAGUUUAAUAUAAUAUUGAUUUGACAUGCAAUACAUUCAUCCAGAAAUUGAGUAUCACGAUAUACUCCCUCCGUCCCAAAUUACUAUUCGUUUUGGGCUUUUUUAGAUACGUAGCUUUUGCUAUGCACCUAAAUAUAUAUUAUGUCUAGAUACGUAGCAAAAGCUAUGUAUCUAUAUAAAAGCCAAAAUGAAUAGUAAUUUGGGAUGGAAAUAAAAUGAAUAGUAUCUAUUAAAACCAAUCGGGACUAAAGGUGAUCCUCAAUAAAAAUCUCGUCCGUGGAGACAUCUUUAAUCCCGGUUCCGGUUAUGCGAGAUGGGAAGUGGGAGCCACACUGCGUGCAUUUGCAGUCCCCAAGUGGAAGCUUCAUGAGCGCUGUCUUUGAACUUGGCUUAUGCUUCGCAGGGGCGCGCCCAAGUUGACCUGUGUGAUCAACGACGCGCAUCAGGCGGCGUUCGGACCUCCUCGUACCCACCAGCGCACACCCAGCUAGUAGUACUCCAAAGGGCAAAGGGAC